UCUUUACUUUACAUUGAUAAUUUAAAAAAAUAAAUUAACAAUAAAAAGUUAAAUUGGGGUGAUUAAAAAAUUAAAAUAAUUUUUUUUCCAAAUUUACAAAAAUUAUUGACUCAUUGAUCCAAUAUUAUUGAUUAAAAAAUUAAGA
rnacentral:rRNA from 1 species